rnacentral:tRNA from 1 species
GCCUCAGUGGCUCAAUCGGUUAAGCGUCCGACUUUGACUCAGAUCGUGAUCUCAUGAUCCGUGAGUUCGAGUCCCACGUUGGGCU